GAGAUAAUUACCAGCGUGCGUUCUGUCAAAGCUGCGGACACACUGACGCAUCCUGAUGCGAAACAACCCUUAUAAUCUGUGGAUUUACACGUGGGAAUAUUUAUAAUAACUUGUUUUUGUUCCUUCAAAAUAAAACCAUCAGACCAAUUCCAGAGAUUAUGAGAGGAGACACAACUGUGGUAAGUGCUGAGUUGUGUGUGAUUGAUGUAAGUUUUAAAAGCUGCUGUGUUGUUUUUCUACGGAAGAGGAUUAGGGCCAAACAUGAAUUUUUUUUGUAGUUCUGACUUUAAAGUCAGAAUUCUGAGAUUAAAGUCAGAAUUCUGAGAAAAAAGUCAGAAUUCUGAGAAAAAAGUCAGAAUUCUGAGAUUAAAGUCAGAAUUCUGACUUUUUUCUCAGAAUUCUGAGAUUAAAGUCAGAAUUCUGACUUUUUUCUCAGAAUUCUGAGAUUAAAGUCAGAAUUCUGACUUUAAAGUCAGAAUUCUGAGAUUAAAGUCAGAACUAAAAAAAAAAUUCACAUGUGGCCCUAAUCCUCUUCCGUAUUUUUCUUCUUAAUUUCUAACGUUAAUGUUUAUCAGGAGAAUGACGUGGAGGCGGAUGAUAAUGGAGAGAGUGCAGCAGCUGCAGCAUCUGGAGACAGACGACCUAGUCUUGUGACGCUACAGAGUAUGCUAAAGAAAGUUUCCCAGAGCCCUUUCCAUGAUCAAUACAAGGUGAGUCUCUCCACUGACACUAGCUAACCGUCCCAUAACACACGCACAAAUGUACAGCAUGGAAGUCACAUUUGGUUGUGAACAUGUAGUUGAGCCUCCUGCAUGAUUAUGUGAUUAAAGCUUUCUGUAUGUUUCUUCUCAGACUGUCCUUUCAUCAUCAUCUGACUCCAGUGGAUCAUCUGCGACCGAGUCUCGAAACAAACAGAAUGGAGUGUCAGAACAGCUACAUUCAAGUCCUCAGGUAUGUUUUUUGAUGCCAGCGUCACUCUGUUUGAGCCAUCUGUCAGCAGUCCAAGAGAAAUCUAACCACUCUGUUUUCUCACUUGUCCCUUUCUUUGUUUAACAGAAUGGAUUCAAUGGGGGUUUGGCCAGAAGUAACCCUUUUUAUACACAUUACUUGGUACAUAUAAGGAUUUUUAUUUUUUUUUUACAAAAUCAGAUCACAACAUUAUUUUAAGUUCCAUCAUUUUCACUGAACACUUCCCUAAUGACUUGUGCUCUGUUGUCAGGAAUCAGGCAGCAAAAGUCAUGAGGAGGUAGGGAAGGAAAGCGCAGAAAUCAACUUCGGCACCCUCUUUGUCCCUCCACCUGAAUUCAGAGCUCACCUCUGGAUCUUCAGA
rnacentral:lncRNA from 1 species